rfam:Dipodomys ordii contig_34048, whole genome shotgun sequence.
GGGAAGGUGGCUCAGUGGUAGAGCGCUUGCCUUGCAUGCAUGAGACCCUAAGUUUGAUUCCUGAGCCUCA